rnacentral:rRNA from 1 species
UCGGGAAUAUUGCGCAAUGGAGGAAACUCUGACGCAGUGACGCCGCGUAUAGGACGAAGGUCUUCGGAUUGUAAACUAUUGUCGUUAGGGAAGAGAAAGGACAGUACCUAAGGAGGAAGCUCCGGCUAACUACGUGCC